rnacentral:rRNA from 1 species
GCGCACGGGUGAGUAACGCGUGGGUAACCUACCCUUGGAUUUGGGAUAACUCCGCGAAAGCGGGGUUAAUACCGGAUGAUAUUCCGAUCUCUCCGGGGGUCGGAAUCAAAGGUGGCCUCUGCAUGCAAGCUACUGUCUAAGGAUGGGCCCGCGUACCAUUAGCUAGUUGGUAGGGUAAUGGCCUACCAAGGCAACGAUGGUUAGCUGGUCUUAGAGGAUGGCCAGCCACACUGGAACUGAGACACGGUCCAGACUCCUACGGGAGGCAGCAGUGGGGAAUCUUGCGCAAUGGGGGAAACCUUGACGCAGCAACGCCGCGUGGGUGAUGAAGGCCUUCGGGUCGUAAAGCCCUGUCAGGUGGGAAGAAACAUAUCGGUGCUAAUAUCACCGAUGUUUGACGGUACCGCCGGAGGAAGCACCGGCUAACUCCGUGCCAGCAGCCGCGGUAAUACGGAGGGUGCAAGCGUUGUUCGGAAUUACUGGGCGUAAAGCGCGUGUAGGCGGUCGGGCAAGUCAGAUGUGAAAGCCUUCCGCUUAACGGAAGGAGUGCAUUUGAAACUACCCGGCUGGAGUACGGGAGAGGAGAGUGGAAUUCCCGGUGUAGAGGUGAAAUUCGUAGAUAUCGGAGGAACACCAGUGGCGAAGGCGGCUCUCUGGUCCGAUACUGACGCUGAGACGCGAAAGCGUGGGGAGCAAACAGGAUUAGAUACCCUGGUAGUCCACGCCGUAAACGAUGGGCACUAGGUGUAGGAGGUAUUGACCCCUUCUGUGCCUGAAGUUAACGCAUUAAGUGCACCAGCCUGGGUAGUACGGUCGCAAGACU